rnacentral:rRNA from 1 species
GAUGAACGCUGGCGGCGUGCUUAACACAUGCAAGUCGAACGGAAAGGCUCCUCCUUUCUGGGGUACUCGAGUGGCGAACGGGUGAGUAACACGUGGGUGAUCUGCCCUUCACUUCGGGAUAACCCUUGGAAACUGGGUCUAAUACCGGAUAGGACCAUCUUUUGCAUGCCAUUGUUUAAAGUUUUUCGGUGUGGGAUGAUCUCGCGGCCUAUCAGCUUGUUGUUGGGGUAGUGGCCUACAAAGGCGUCUACGGGUAGGCGGCCUGGGAGGGUGUACGGCCACAAUGGGACUGAGAUAGGGGCCAGAAUGCUACGGGAGGGAGCAGUGGGGAAAAUUGCAAAAUGGGGGGAAGGCUGAUGGAGGGAAGCAGGGGGGGGGAAGAAGGGCUUCGGGUUGUAAAAGCGUUUCGGGAGGGAAGAAGGGGAAGGGACGGUAACUGGAGAAGAAGCACCGGCUAACUACGUG